rnacentral:lncRNA from 1 species
UUUUUAGUAGUAGCAUUCCCAUUCCUUGAACCCCUAACACUGAGUUUUGAUUAAUUCUUUUUGUUAUUUUUUUCUUUCCCCUUUUAAGCUUUGUCCCACCUUGUACUUCUCUGUAUGUUUUGUUGAAUUGAGAUAGUGUGUUGCGUUUCCAAUUUCUCUUGACUAGAAACUGCAAUUUCCAUGUUCUCAUUUCCCUCUUCUUGCA